GCUGGAUGACUAAGGAGGCUGAGUCUGACACAGCAAGACUCUGCUGACUACAAUUGUCCUAGAAAAAGGGUUGGAGAAAGUGGGAGAUCUGUGAAGGAUCUUCUGACUACAGUGGGAGUACCUGUCCUGA
ensembl:scaRNA